rnacentral:lncRNA from 1 species
UUUCGAUCGAAACUUCCUGUCCCGUAAAGAGCAGUCAAGAUUAGGUAGUAGGAGAUAUGGUGAAGGUAAGUUAGAUUCAAUCUGAGUGGCACAUAGAACAUAGCUUGAAGAGUGAAGAUGAUGCUUAAGUAAAUGACACCCAUAACCAAAAUAGCAUUCGCCAGCCAGCUGAGUUUGCCGACAAACACUACAAGCUUGCUGUGGAUGCUGGGGACAUUCAAGAGCUACCAACAGUGGUGAUACCAGGGUUCCACACAAGUAGUGCCACUUGAGGGUCAUUGAUUUGUGCAUAGAGGAGCAUCACCAGGGUUCCACACAAGUAGUGCCACUUGAGGGUCAUUGAUUUGUGCAUAGAGGAGCAUGACGACCACGACCAUUGAGUUGAACAUUUGGUGGGGAUUGCAUGCCGAGAAUAAAUGGAACAUAGUCUUCUUUAAUGCAGUGGCAAUGCCAUGGUCUCGUCCAGCACCAGAACUGUUAUACCCUGCUGAAACCGCCAGACCAACGGCCAAAGUCACAGUGGCCAUGAGUGUUGCCAAGAGCAAGCGGGUGUUUACUGGUCCUUCAUGAAGUCUCUUCUUGGAGUUUGGAUUCGUCCCUCUACAAUUUCAUGCUCUCGCUCUGGGAUGAAUAUUACCGAAU